rnacentral:rRNA from 1 species
AUUGAACGCUGGCGGCAGGCUUAACACAUGCAAGUCGAGCGGGGGAAGGUAGCUUGCUACCUAACCUAGCGGCGGACGGGUGAGUAAUGCUUAGGAAUCUGCCUAUUAGUGGGGGACAACAUUUCGAAAGGGAUGCUAAUACCGCAUACGCCCUAAGGGGGAAAGCAGGGGAUCUUCGGACCUUGCGCUAAUAGAUGAGCCUAAGUCGGAUUAGCUAGUUGGUGGGGUAAAGGCCUACCAAGGCGACGAUCUGUAGCGGGUCUGAGAGGAUGAUCCGCCACACUGGGACUGGAACACGGCCCAGACUCCUACGGGAGGCAGCAGUGGGGAAUAUUGGACAAUGGGGGGAACCCUGAUCCAGCCAUGCCGCGUGUGUGAAGAAGGCCUUUUGGUUGUAAAGCACUUUAAGCGAGGAGGAGGCUACCGAGAUUAAUACUCUUGGAUAGUGGACGUUACUCGCAGAAUAAGCACCGGCUAACUCUGUGCCAGCCGCCGCGGUAAAAC